UGUGUUUCCAGCUGGACCUAGGCAUCUGUCAGCAGUUUUAGGUACAGCUAUCUCAUCUCACCUGAGUGGUAUUUGGAUGUCAGUUUAUUGCUGCCCCAACUUUCCAUGCAAUGGAUCAGCUGAAUGGUUCUUGGCGUUCUGUCUUGGGGACACUCUGUGUCAGUGUGUGGAUGGGGUUUCAGAAGUGGCCCCAGCUCAGCAAAUGAGAAUACAACUCGUGAACCUCUGAGGCAUGAGAGAAUCUCUCUGCCAGUCAGUGCUGGAGAAGGAUAACGAGUCGGGGGUGUGAACAAUAAGCAGGUAGUUGGGAAGUGUCGGUUUGGGGGACCUACCUGGAGCUCAGGUCCAACCGUAUACUGCGUGGUAACAGUGUGUGGGUAGGGUAGCUAGUAUGCAUGUGGUAAGAAGAUGCCCUCUUGGACCUAGUGAAGUAUAAAGUCACACUGGAUACAGUGGGUAGGGUGGCUGGUAGGCAGGUUGGGGUGUGGAAUGGGUUUGAGGGACACACUACAAAUUCCCAGGUGGACUCCAUAGGAUCCAGGACAGAGUGGUGGAAAAGGUGAUCGUAGGCAGACACAGGAAGAAUGGUCUAAAGGAAGCUACAUGGAUGUAUAGGUUGUGCUCCACUUAGUGCAGUGGAUAAAGAGGCUGGUGGGCAGGAGUCCAGGCAGAAAAGCUCCGUGAAGACCUGACUAUUGUGCCCUGACAGAUGUAGGUAGAUCAGAGUUCAGCUGAUAGAUUGGUGGAAGAGUUCUUAGCGGCCUACCUGGGAUUCCAGAUAAUUUCCACUUAGGAACUGGGCAGGGUGACUAAUAGGCAGGAAAACGAAUGGAAUGGGUCUGGGGAUCCUGUCCAGAGCUCUGGAUUAUACUCCAACCAGUGGCAGGUGAUGUGGCAGGUAGGGUGGCUGAUAGCUGAGUGGGCACAGAUCUUGGGCCCUGAUGUUCCUGGUCAGACCUGUGCUGGGAGACACUGUAAGUGAGACAGCUUAUAGCGAAGCAGACUGACUGUGUGGAGAAUCCCUAUUGGGAGCUCCAUGUUGGUCUUGAUGUAGUACCAGGUGGGGAAGGGGCAACAGAGGGGUGGUAUAUAGAGUCAGGAUAGUAGACUGGGCUUAGAGGUCCUGACUGAAGUUCUAGGUCAGAAUCCAUGCUAUGUUUAUGGAGCAGAACCACAAUGGGUACCUGGCUACUGGAAGGGCAGGCUGAAUUGGUGUGGGGAACAUCCCUGGAGUUGUUCAUCAAAUCCCAUGUGGUUUGGAAGUGGUGUGUUGUAUGGGGUGGCUGUUGGGCAGUAGCUGAGGAAGAAUGGGUCCGGGGAUACCUGGGUUUCGGGCUAUACCGCAUGCUUUGUGGAGAGGUAGAGUAUAGGUGGACAGUACUGCUCACAGGCUGGUAGAUGGGCUGAAUGCAUCUGUAGGAUCUCCCUGUAGUUCCCAGUUGUACUGCACAUUGUGUCUGUGCAGAGCAGUGGGUAAAGGGUCUAAUAAGCAUAGGGACAGAAUGUGUCUGAGGGAACUUCCUGGAGUUCUAAGCCAUAUUCUAUGUUCUGUGGUAGCAACAUAGUGAAUGGAGUAAUUAAUAGGCCCAUGGGCAUCAGAACGGAUCCAGGGACCUACUUGGAGUCCUGGGUCAGAAUCCGUGUGGUGCGAUUGGUUACACGGUAGUUAGAGAGUCUGAUAGGCAGGUUGAAGGCUUUGUGAAGACGAUGCAGAGUUCCUUGUUAGAUUCCACACUUGGGUCCAAGCUGAAUGGCAGGUGGUUUGAGGGCUUUAACUGGGAAGGCUUAAGAAAAGGCACCUUGACUCCUCCCAUAAUUCCGAGCGUUGCGUCGCCCACGGACACAAGCAAUUUUGACAGUUUCCCUGAGGACAGCGACGAGCCACCGCCUGAUGACAACUCAGGCUGGGACAUAGACUUCUAAUGCAUUUCUCUUACCUGCUUCUGCCUUGCUGAAGACAGCUUUUUUCUCUGAGACACAGCUGCCAGCAAACCUGAGGGAAAGAGAGAAGAUGAGUGCUCGGGGUCACCAUGAUGCCUUUGAUCGAUGCUGCUCCAGUCAGUAACUACAGUGGCAUUAGGACUUAAUGCUUAGACUACGACAGUGCUCUUUACCUGUUUUAUGUUUGAACCUAAAAUAGCAGUUGACAUGGUGGUCCUGAAGCAAAGCCUUUCACCAGUAAAGCGAUGUUUUCUAUUGUUGCUUUGCUCUGAUUAUGUUUUGAAAGAGUGUAGGAAACACUUCAAUCUAGUAGAAGAGUCUGUAUCUUGCUAGAACUACCAAGAAGAUUAGAGAAUAAUAUAUUUGGUACGAUAGAUGACUGCGGUACAGAACCUGGGCUACAUUUCCUUCCGUUGAGAGAAGGGUAUGGGGUCUACGACUGCAAGCCAGUAUAUAUAUAUAUGUAUAUCAUACAACAAGGACCACACAUCUGUGGGUCACAGAGUUCAUGUCAAACCAGUGCUAGAUGUUUCUGAGUUUCUUUCUGAGCUGAUGACGAGACCGAAUGUUACCUUUCCUUUCUGAUCGAUUCUAAACAUUGGCCCUGAUUUAAAAAGCACAACUGUGUGGCUUCCGUACAAGCCUCCCAUGGCAGGUUCAUAGCGUGUUUUUGGAGGACAGAAAACGUGCGUGAAAACUGAGAAGUCGACAUGACAAUGUGGAAGUGGGGAAAGGAAUUCACAACACCAUUUCAUAUCUUUUUUAAAAAAAAAACAAAAAACAUUGUGCUUAAAGAUGGUCCUGGAAAUGACUAGCAGCCAAUUGGUUUUAUUUAUUACCUAACACCCUCAAACUGAGGCUUAAACUAUUCCCUUUUAUAAGAAUAAACCCCUGGGGGAAGGGGCGGGAUAGGGUGGGGAGGAAUUAAGACCCAUCCAAAAAUAAAAAUGAAAAGGUGCUAUGUCUUUCUUUCAUCUGUAAACGUCAGUGUCUGAAUGGACGACACAGAUUCUAAUCACCAUGUCUAGCCAGAGACUCAAGCAUUUUCACCAACUUUAUUAAAAACAAACUCCUGUCAGACAUCACAACACAGUCCAGGUCUCAGAGAGAAAGGAUAUUAAAAAUGUUUUUAAACUAGUCUCUUGUCUUAGGCCUGAACCAAAACAAAAUGCCUACGUCCAGUCUGAAAGCACAAAGCCAGCGCUAUUAAGACUUUACAGUCCUUAGGAGCUUUGUUGUUUUGAGGUCAGGGAGGAAGGCAAACCAGGACUUGAGGACUGUUCCCUAGGUAAGUUUAUCAGAGUGAGAAGGGGUAAGAAAGGAAACCAGGAAACUGAUUUCUUAAAACUACAUUUUAGCCGAAUCAAGCAGAGGUAUUGUGAUCUUAAAAUUUCACAUGAGCUACAGAAGAUAACAUUUGAAAAUCUCAAACGGACUGUCCUUUCCGCAUGAGAGAAAGAGUCACCAGAUUAAACCAAGAGUUUGUCGUCGGCAGGACAGUUGGCCACUGUUCUUAAGUGGCAGAACUUUCCAGAGGUUUCCCUUGGCAGGUGGCAUUUUACUUGUACAGUCAAAUGAACAACUGUCCAAGCUGUCAUCCUAAUUUGGAUAUGUGUGUUAAUAGAGGUUUGCUAUUUUUCCAGGAGGGUUUUUUUAUGUAGAAAUUUCUAUAAAAGUGUUUCCAUUAGAUUAUCACACCCUAGCCGAUAAAUCACAUGAUUUUUGUUUCAAAUUUCAACCUUAAAACUACCUUCAACCGUGCUUAUCCUAUCAAAAUAUUAUACUCUAAAGACAUUUGAAACCUAAAACUGCUCAGUGUAUAUUUAAUUAGGAUAAAGUUCCAUUAAAACUUUGAUCCUGAUUUAUUAUUAUUAUUAUUAUUAUUAUUAUUAUUGUGUAUUGGAAUCCUCUCCUUCAUAAGCAAUUCACAAGAUUACUAGAUUUCCCAAGAGAUCUAUAGAUUUCAACAGACUGUAUAAUAUAAAAUUAUCAAGUUAAAAUUCAGCGAUUUCUGGAGGUUUAUCUUUUAAUUGGCUUUAAAAACAUUAUUCCAUCAUUAUAAUCAGUGUUCAAUACUUUUUCUCGCAAGAUAGUGUGGUAAAAGUUUGCGACGGUGUUAUAUUUGCCUGGUCGUUAGCAAAGGGAAUCUGUCUCUCUAAUUUUUCAAAUAUUAACAGAUCUCCAGGAAUUGGCGCAGACCAUGUAUUUAAGAACUGGGGUUCGAGGCUAAGACAACUUGUGUGUGUGUGUGUGUGUGUGUGUGUGUGUGUGUGUGUACCUGUCCUAUGGAGAAGAAAGUUGUUGCUUUUAGCACAACGUGACUGUAGGUUAUUUUCCACUUGUGAUAAAUCUUUGUUCGUUUCAUCCACAGCAUUGGUUAGAAUGCCCAACACUAUCACAAGAAAUAAAGAUGAAUUCUAUCUUCCAAGAAAUGCUAACAGAAAACAUUCAUCAGAUUUUUUUCAAUACUGAGUUUUAAGGAUUUAUUAAAUCUUGUCUUAAUGAAGACACUAGGGCUAUAAUUCAUAGUCAGCUUCAUAAACCACAUCUUACUUCCUAGACUUUUCCAUACCCCCUCGUCUUUUGGAUUGUUUUGUUUUGUUGCACUAAAGACCAUCUGGAUAAAUUAGAAUAGUGCCAACUUGUUUGAUUUGCUAACUGACUUUCUUGUCGAUAGUUUUAUGUAUGGGAAAUAGGGCUUUCUGUGUGUCCUAAGUCACAGAAAAACAGCAAACUGCCAAGAAAGGACAUCACGAUGUUUAAGUAGAUUGAACACAUUAGAGAAAAAUGAGUUUUUAUACUUGUGAUCUUUGGGUUUUUUUUUUUUUUUUUUUGGAUGUGAAUGAGGUCCAUGUAGCAUUUAAAGCAAAUUCAUUUUUAUCAUAAUCCUCCUUAGUCAUAGGGAACAUACAUGUGAGUUACACAUGUAGUCUAAUAUCUAAACCCUUGAAUCGCUCUCACUUCAUUUCCAAAUGAUAGGCUCGAUGGUGAACCUAAAGAAGUCAGCUACCACAUUGAACACAGGGUAGUAAAACCCGACUUUACAACAGAGGCAGUUAGUGCAUUAUCCACCAUGUUUUCUUUCACGACAGGACCACAACAAAUAUUUAUGUAAAUAGAUAUUUUUGUGUGAUAUUUUGUGGUACAUAUAACUUUUUCUUUAGUGUUUCACAGCAUUAUGAUUUGAUUUGAUUUGUAUUAAAUAAUGUUUUAGGUCCAAGUAGACUUGAAUGGACGUUACAAUUGUUAGUAUUAUUGAAACUUAAUGUCAACAGUACUGUCAUUCAUCCGUCCCAUAGUUUAGAACCUGACCUGGCUAUCUGGCGUUGUUGCAAGUGCCUUAAACUCAUGGCAUCAUAUUAAGAAAACAAAUUUGGUGUUAUGCUGCAUGACAAAGACAAACACACCUCAAAAAAAAAAAAGUUGUCCUUUCUUAGCUUGCUGCGUUUUACAGUUCUUUCUGCUAACAAUUUAUAAGCCUUUAUUAUAUAAUAUUGAUGAAUUACAGAAAUGAUGAAGUCGUUAUCUUUAUUUCUGUUCAAUGUACCAGAGCUGUGUGUCUGUUCAUGAGAUACAGCGUCAUUUCUGUGAAAUGUAUACAUGUACGUGCAGGUCAAAUUUACUAUAUGACAUACUAUCAGUCUGUAUACAGGUAUUCCUGUUUUGCUAAAGCUGUGCAGACCCAACAAAUUCAAAUAUUAAAAAAAAAAAGAGUAGUGCAGUCAAAUCCUAAUUUAUCUCAUUUUAUAGAUUUCAUUAACAAUGGUCAAACCCAAAGGAAAACAAUUGGAAAUGACUGCUCACCACACCUCGUUUGGAAACCAAUAAUGAAAAUGUACCUUGGUGCACCCCUCAACAAAACAGGCUGCUCUCUCUGAGUUCUCGUACAUGCAAGUCAUGUAUGAGGCGAGUUUUCAGGAGACUUUGAAAGCAAACCAUUGGAAGAGUGUUGUUAGCCCUCCCCCUUGUCUGGCCCUGCAACAACAGACAGAGCUCUGGGACCUUGGCUUUGACGCAGAGGUUUGAGCUUUCUACGUAAGGGACAUUUCUUGAAGCAUCACUUAUCAAGUUUAUUUCAACGUAUGAUGUUUUUACAACUGGUCGGUUCUUUUUGUAUUCUUACAGCUCCGGUUAUUUGAUCGUCCUCCUACAAUUUGUUCUACAUGAAAGAGUCUUUUGUUAGAAUGCAAACCAACUGUCAUCUAAUGGUCAUUGGCCACUUGCACUCUUUUGAUGUAGAUUAAAAACUUUUUCACAACUUAACCUGCUUUGAUUUGCUCUGUAUUUUCCCUGCAGCUGUAAUUGCAGAGUGCCUGUUGGAUACUUUAUAGAGUUGAAAUAAAAAAAAAUAAUUACUUUUGAA
rnacentral:sRNA from 1 species